UACGUAGGGAGCAAGCGUUGUUCGGAUUUACUGGGCGUAAAGGGCGCGUAGGCGGCGCGGUAAGUCACUUGUGAAAUCUCUGAGCUUAACUCUGAACGGCCAAGUGAUACUGCAGUGCUAGAGUGCAGAAGGGGCAAUCGGAAUUCUUGGUGUAGCGGUGAAAUGCGUAGAUAUCAAGAGGAACACCUGAGGUGAAGACGGGUUGCUAGGCUGACACUGACGCUGAGGCGCGAAAGCCAGGGGAGCAAACGGG
rnacentral:rRNA from 1 species